rnacentral:rRNA from 1 species
AUUGAACGCUGGCGGCAGGCCUAACACAUGCAAGUCGAACGGUAACAGAAAGCAGCUUGCUGCUUUGCUGACGAGUGGCGGACGGGUGAGUAACGUCUGGGAAACUGCCUGAUGGAGGGGGAUAACUACUGGAAACGGUAGCUAAUACCGCAUAACGUCGCAAGACCAAAGAGGGGGACCUUCGGGCCUCUUGCCAUCGGAUGUGCCCAGAUGGGAUUAGCUUGUUGGUGGGGUAACGGCUCACCAAGGCGACGAUCCCUAGCUGGUCUGAGAGGAUGACCAGCCACACUGGAACUGAGACACGGUCCAGACUCCUACGGGAGGCAGCAGUGGGGAAUAUUGCACAAUGGGCGCAAGCCUGAUGCAGCCAUGCCGCGUGUAUGAAGAAGGCCUUCGGGUUGUAAAGUACUUUCAGCGGGGAGGAAGGGAGUAAAGUUAAUACCUUUGCUCAUUGACGUUACCCGCAGAAGAAGCACCGGCUAACUCCGUG